CACGUAGGGUGCGAGCGUUUGUCCGGAAUUAUUGGGCGUAAAGAGCUCGUAGGCGGUCUGUCGCGUCUGCUGUGAAAACUCAGGGCUUAACCCUGAGCUUGCAGUGGGUACGGGCAGACUAGAGUGCGGUAGGGGAGACUGGAAUUCCUGGUGUAGCGGUGAAAUGCGCAGAUAUCAGGAGGAACACCGGUGGCGAAGGCGGUUCUCUGGGCCUGUACUGACGCUGGAGGAGCGAAAGCGUGGGGAGCAACAGG
rnacentral:rRNA from 1 species